GACGAACGCUGACGGCGUGCCCUAUACAUGCAAGUAGGACUCAGUUGGGAACGGGUGAGUAACGCGUAGGUCACUGCCUACUAGCGGGGGACAACUAUUGGAAACGAUAGCUAAUAUCGCAUACUACUAGAUGGACAUGCGUUGUAUUAGCUAGUAGGUGGGGUAAUGGCCUACCUAGGCGACGAUACAUACCCGACCUGAGAGGGUGAACGGCCACACCGGUACUGAGACGCGCCCCAGACGCCUACGGGAGGCAGCAGUAGGGAAGCGUCGGCAAUGGGGGGUACCCUGACCUGGCAACGCCGCGUGAGGGAAGAAGGUUUUCGGAGCGUAAAGCUCUGUUGUUCAUGAAGCGGUACUUAACCAAAAAGGGACGGCUAACUACGUGCCAGCAGCCGCGGUAAUAC
rnacentral:rRNA from 1 species